GCUGCAUGCUCUGUCCUUUAAGCAGGGAGCACACCUGAGCACGCCUGAGCACACCGGGUCCAGGUGUGUCUCAUGCUGCUGAUUAGCCUCAUCAGGUCUAAUUAAUCACAAAAGAUUUAAUUUAUAACAGCAUGAGGGUUUACAGUGUUAUAGUGGAACUAUGAGAGUGACAGAAAGCUCUAGAAAUUAAAAGUACUAUUAAUUCUACAAUGUGGACCGUCGACUAGCAGAGCUGACGAUGCGGACGGACAUGAACAUCUCUGCUUUGUCUCACAAGAUGAAUGACUUCCAGAGCUGAUGAUUACAUUCCUCUCUGCAGAGGUCCAAGUGGUUCUUCUUCCUGAUUGUGAUGUGUGCUGAUUUGAGCCCUGAAGAGGAAUGUGACGGGGAAAGUGAGAGAAGUUUAAGAAACGCCCAUCGGUGGCGUUGACCCCGGACGGCCCCGGACGGCCUCGGCUAACAACCAGAGCUGCCUGGGAUGCUUGAGGCCGGUAACGUAAGACUCUCCUCUUCUUCUCUCUCUGAAAUACCUCGUAGAUAUGCCGGCUCGGAUACCAGAUCUCUCUGCACCACCUCCAGCCACCAUUCUCAUCUCCAGGACGUGUGUGCUGCUUGUUGUCUGGUAAACAUGUGACACCUGUCGGAGGAAUGCUGGUUGCUAACGGGGCCAAGUCCGUCCUGCAGCAUCUAGUACACAGCAUGUUCUGUUCUUCCAUCACAGCGGUGGCGGUGACGGUGACGGUGGCGGUGGAUACAGGAAGUGUGAAGCAGUGGAUGUGUCUGCUGGUUGUUGUCUUGUAACGGAGAUACAGACUCUGUUUUUAUUUAUCCCACCCCCCCGCCCCCGCCUCUCCCCUCCAGCUGUCUCUGUUGUGUCUGGAGCGUGUCCUCUGAACUCUGGCGGGGGACGCGGUGGGACGCUUGGAGGACGGUCAAACCCACUAACCCUUCCAACUAUGCAGAAUGUUACAGAACACACCCUGCUGGACUCUGAUUAUGGAACACUAAACCUCCAGGAGACGUGCCGCCUUUAUCUGACAAGACAUUUAUGUUUCUGUGUCAAUCAGAGCAGCAAUAACUGAGAUUCUUUUAUCAUUAUUUAACUGUUUUAUGUAUUCAAAGAACAUCCAAUCCAAAUUUAUUUAUAAAGCAACAAAAGUUGACUAAAGUGCUGUAUUACAGUUAAACAUCAAAACAACACAAUAACACACUAAGACCAACUUAAAACCAACAGGACAUUGAAAUAAUAAAAGUGUCAAUAGGCCAAUAUGGAAAAAGGAUUAAGAUAGUCAACUCUCAUGCUGAGCCAAAAGCCAUUAAGGAAUAAAAGUGUUUUGAGGUUUGAUUUAAGAACAGGCAGUGUGGAGGACAGCCCAACAUGUGGAGGCAGAGUUGAACCCCUGAGCUUCAACUUUGACCUCGGUACAGUCAGAAACAACUGCUCAGUUGAACCGAGCGUCCUCCAUAAAAGAUAUGGUUUUAAAAGAUCUGAGAGAGAAGUUGGAUGAUUUAUAUGUUAAUGAUAAAUCUUAAAAUCAAUCCUAAAACAUGAAGAGAAGCCAGAAUCGGGGAAAUGUGCUCACGUUUACCAGUUAAAAGACGAGCUGCCGUGUUCUGAACAGGCUGACGUUGGCUAACACCAACGUAAAGUGCAUUACAAUAAUCAAGACGUGUGGUGAUAAAAACAUGCAUUACCUUUUCAAAAUUAUUAAAAGAUAAAAAGGACUUAACCCUGGAUAAAAGACGCAGUUGGAAAAAGCUUCAUUUCACAAAUGGAGCGAAUUCAGGCAGUCAACUCGAGCUGCACUCCUACAUACACAUGUGACAUGCCUCACUCUCAAUACCAUAAACCAAACGCACCCUGCAAAAUCCUCUAUUUCUCCCUCUGCCUCUUCAAUGCUGCUGCUGCCCUGCAGGAGUCCUGCCGCCGCCUGCUCUUUCAGCCACACCACCAACCCAGCAUCCACCUGCAGGCUCCGACGGGGGGUAAUAUGUUUAAUCAUCACUCCCAAUACCUCAUGUAAUCAUAUCUGCAGGGAGUGAUGAGGUCACAGUUUAGACCCCAAACUCUGACAAUGUUCUGCUGUUGAAAUAAACAUUUCAAACGUGA